rnacentral:rRNA from 1 species
GAUGAACGCUAGCUACAGGCUUAACACAUGCAAGUCGAGGGGAAACGACAUCGAAAGCUUGCUUUUGAUGGGCGUCGACCGGCGCACGGGUGAGUAACGCGUAUCCAACCUGCCCAUCACUUGGGGAUAACCUUGCGAAAGUAAGACUAAUACCCAAUGACGUCUCUAGAAGACAUCUGAAAGAGAUUAAAGAUUUAUCGGUGAUGGAUGGGGAUGCGUCUGAUUAGCUUGUUGGCGGGGUAACGGCCCACCAAGGCUACGAUCAGUAGGGGUUCUGUGAGGAAGGUCCCCCAGAUUGGAACUGAGACACGGUCCAAACUCCUACGGAAGGCAGCAGUGAGGAAUAUUGGUCAAUGGACGAGAGUCUGAACCAGCCAAGUAGCGUGCAGGAAGACGGCCCUAUGGGUUGUAAACUGCUUUUAUAAGGGAAUAAAGUGAGUCUCGUGAGACUUUUUGCAUGUACCUUAUGAAUAAGGACCGGCUAAUUCCGUGCCAGCCGCCGCCGUAA